rnacentral:rRNA from 1 species
GACGAACGCUGGCGGCGUGCCUAAUACAUGCAAGUAGGACGCAGUUGCGAACGGGGGAGUAACGCGUAGGUAACUGCCUGGUAGAGGGGGAUAAAUAUUGGGAACGAUAGCUAAUACCGCAUACUAGUAGAUGGACCUGCGUUGUAUUGGCUAGUAGGUGGGGUAAUGGCCUAACAAGGCAACGAUAAAUAGCCGACCUGAGAGGGUGAUCGGCCACACUGGGACGGAGACACGGCCCAGACUCCUACGGGAGGCAGCAGUAGGGAAUCUUCGGCAAUGGGGGGAACCCUGACCGAGCAACGCCGCGUGAGUGAAGAAGGUUUUCGGAUCGUAAAGCUCUGUUGUUAAGGAAGCGGUACCUAACCAGAAAGGGACGGCUAACUACGUGCCAGCAGCCGCGGUAAUUC